rnacentral:lncRNA from 1 species
CUAAUGAUGGGUUCCAAAGCUUCAGCCAUGUUUUUCAUUCUCUCAAUCUUCAUGGCCUUAUCUUUGCCCCCAAUUUAUGCUUGCACUCCUUGUACUCAGCCCCACCCUCCUCAGCCCCCUUAUCACCGCCCUUCCCACCCUAAAAUUCCCCAUCCAAAACCCCACCCUCCUCACCACGGCGGUGGAGGAGGCGGAGGCGGUGGUGGCGGUGGCAGUCGUGGAGGAGGUGGUGGCGGAGGUGGUGGCAGCCGUGGAGGUGGUGGUGGAGGUGGCGGAGGUGGCGGUGGACAUCAUCCCCACCCACCAAUUGUAAUUCCCCCACCAGUUAUCUCCCCACCAGUGAUAACCCCACCAGUGAUAACCCCUCCAGUGAUAACCCCUUCACCACCAUCUACAACCUACCCUCCUUACACUAGCCCUCCUCCUAGUGGGGGUGGUGGAGGUGGAGGUGGAGGUGGCGGCGGUGGCGGUGGAGGUGGUGGUGGACCAGGCUCAGGGCAAUACCCUCCACCAGCGCCGCCGGUUCAACCGACGUGCCCAAUAGAUGCAUUGAAAUUAGGUUUAUGUGUGGAUGUUCUUGGAGGGUUGGUGCAUAUUGGUCUAGGGAAUCCAGUUGAGAAUGCAUGUUGUCCAGUGCUUGGAGGGCUAUUGGAACUUGAAGCAGCAGUAUGUUUGUGUACAACUUUGAGGAUUAAGCUUUUGAAUCUCAAUAUAUUCAUUCCUUUGGCACUACAAG